AGAUGUGAGGGUGACUGUGCUGCAACAUCUGCCAUCCCUAUACUCCCCAGGGUCUAUUUGGAUGCUCUGGCCUGGAGAUCGGUGUUCCUUUCCGCUGUCAUUGCUCCACACAUAUCUCAAGUGGCACAAUUGUUGGAAGUAGACAACCUUAACUGAUGGGGGAGGAACAGUCUUUUGUCAAGGGUAUCUGAGUAGCUGUGUUCCGCUCUCAAGAUCCCAAAACAUAACAGAGGUUCAAGAGGUAAAGAGUACUUUGCUAUGUUCUCCAAAAUAAGUAAUAACAUUUGAGAAGUUGGAGAAUAGGUUGGAUUCU
ensembl:misc_RNA 7SK 7SK RNA